GUGGGAGCAGCAAUGCGCCGGUGAAAUACCACUACUCUUAUCGUUUUUUUACUUAUUGGAUGAAGUGGAAGCGGACCGCAAGGUCCACGUUCUGGACUUAACUCUCGUCUCCGGACGGGAGGAUCCAAGCCCAAGACACCGUCAGGUUGGGAGUUUGGCUGGGGCGGCACAUCUGUCAAAUGAUAACGCAGGUGUCCUAAGGUGAGCUCAAUGAGAACAGAAAUCUCAUGUAGAACAAAAGGGUAAAAGCUCACUUGAUUUUGAUUUUCAGUAUGAAUACAAACUGUG
rnacentral:rRNA from 1 species